rnacentral:rRNA from 1 species
AUACGGAGGAUCCGAGCGUUAUCCGGAUUUAUUGGGUUUAAAGGGUGCGCAGGCGGUCAUUUAAGUCAGCGGUUAAAUCGUGGGGCUCAACCCCAUUCUGCCGUUGAUACUGGGUGGCUUGGUUGCGGUCGAGGUUGGCGGAAUUCGCUGUGGAGGGGGGAAAUGCAUAGAUAUGACGAAGAACACCGAUUGCGUAGGCAGCUGACCAGAUAGCAAAUGACGCUCAUGCACGAAAGUGCGGGGAUCGAACAGGAUUAGAUACCCUGGUAGUCCGCACAGUAAACGAUGAAUACUUGUUUUCGGCGAUAUAAUGUCGGAGGCAAAGCGAAAGCGAUAAGUAUUCCACCUGGGGAGUACGCCGGCAACGGUGAAACUCAAAGGAAUUGACGGGG